AAGUUGUACUUGGUGAAAACAAGCUUUUAGCAUUUCAUUUACACUGAAAAGAUUCUUGGUAAU
rnacentral:tRNA from 1 species